rnacentral:tRNA from 3 species
GCCAGCAUAGCUCAGUGGUAGAGCGAGCGUUUCAUAAGCGCUAGGUCGCAGGUCCGAUCCCUGCUGCUGGUA